ACAAUCAGUAUUCAGUAUUCAUUUGCGAACGCUGUGCAGAUGUCGAAGGACUUUGCAGGCACGGUUCUAUAGGCUAGGAUUAAUUGAUAAUUAGUAAAAAAAAAAAUCGUUCUUAAGUAGCAAAUAACCAACGCUCAAAGUAUUAUUUCGACAUGUCUAACUACAAACAGGAAUUCAACAAGCCAAUCGAUUCAAAGCGCGAAGAGUUCAGAAAAUAUUUGGAACGUGCCGGAGUUAUGGAUGCUUUGACCAAGGUGCUGGUUUCGUUGUACGAAGAAACCGAGAAGCCUGAUGACGCUUUAGAAUACGUUCGAAAAAAUUUGGGCGGUAUAACAGACGCGGCGUUAGAAACUGAGACACUAAGGAAAGAAUUGGAAGAGGCAAGGAUGACGAUUACUAGUCUGAAGGAGAAAUUAGUCAAGUAUGAGUCUGACGAAGGAGCGGAGUAACAAGUUCUUGCGGCAAUACAAAACGUACAAUACUAGUCCCUUGAUCGUCUUACGCGUUAAGCGAGACAGAGAAACAAAAACCUAAAGAAAAGAUAUAUAAAUAUAUAUAUAUAAAAAAAUCUAUUCCAACUACUGAUGUGCCUUAAUUAUUAUUAUUAUUAUAUGUCUAGGAGUAAGCUUUCAAAACUUAGUAUUAAAAUCAUAACGUGUGACAAUUUUGAAACAUGUAUUAUUCCAUUAGAAGUAGGCGUAGUCGAUAUCUUUACUAGAAAUGGAUAAUCGGUUCAUAAAAACGUCUAGCUGCGUGUUAAAAUGGUUUGGCAAGCAAGUUCAAAACUAAAUAUUAAACCUCUUCGCUUUUCUCUUGACUUUCGUCGUUCGUUCCUUACUAUUCAAGAAACGAUAAAUGACAUUUUUUAAGUACUAUCUGCAUAGUACAUAAAUACAUCUCAUUAAAUAUUAUUAUUAAUAUAUUAUAUUACAACACAAUGUAAGGUAGCCACCGUUGAUUUCAAAAUGAUAUAAUAUA